rnacentral:rRNA from 1 species
UACGUAGGGGGGCUAGCGUUGUCCGGAAUCAUUGGGCGUAAAGAGCGUGUAGGCGGUCCGGUAAGUCCGCUGUGAAAGUCGGGGGCUCAACCCUCGAAUGCCGGUGGAUACUGUCGGGCUAGAGUGCGGAAGAGGCGAGUGGAAUUCCUGGUGUAGCGGUGAAAUGCGCAGAUAUCAGGAGGAACACCUAUUGCGAAGGCAGCUCGCUGGGACGUAACUGACGCUGAGACGCGAAAGCGUGGGGAGCAAACAGG